rnacentral:lncRNA from 1 species
GAAAACAUAGAUAUAUAUAUAGUAAAAUAAUAAUAUACCAUGGAUAAAAAUGGGUCAAAUCCAAGGUAUAUCAACUCCCCCAGACUUACCCUUUUGCUUGUCCUCAAGCAAAACAUACAGGCAGUCUCUCUGAAACAGGUUUGAAAAUAUUUGGGAACUUAAGAUUUUAAAAACAUAGAAAUCUUUGCUCAACAAUUUUGCAACCACAUUUAAAAAGUCCUAAUCACAAAAGCACAUUAUGCAAUAUCCUAGCUUACCAACCAUUUCUAACAUAACACAACUCAUCAAUUCACGUCUGACAUCCCCUCUACUGAUUUUAUUUCUUAGUAUAAAUAUAAAGUGAAUGCUUUACCUUGGGAGUAUCGAUCACAUGAUGCAAGGAUUUCAGACAGGUAUCUGGAGCUGCAGGUAAGAGUUAGUUCCUAGUUUCUCUCUCUCUAAAUUUCUCUCUUGAGUCAAAGUCUGCUUCCAUUGCAGGAUCAGUGACCAAGAUUGGACAGGCUUCCAUGAAUCAAAACUUAAUGGUGGUUGCCACCAAAUUCUGUUCACUUCUUUUUGACCUAUAUCCAAGAAUUCUUUGCGAAAGCGAGCCUUGAAGAUUGCCGCCUCCAAGUCCCGUUUCGAACUCUUUUAUUUGAGUCUCUAUGAAUCAAGCCUUAAUGGUUUUAGCCACCAAGUGCUGUUCAGACUCAUCCUAAUUAAUCAAUAGAUCUUACUUACUUUUUUUUAUUUUUUAUUUUUUUAUUUUUUAUUUUUUAAAUAGAAACUCAUAACUAAUCUAGGGUCGAAAUCUAGAAAGAGAAAAUGUGAUAGAUAAACUAAACCAGGCGUUACCUUCCAGACCUAUCUGAAGAAUCUGAUCCCAUGUAUACCAAACCCCAAGACAAGCGGUUAUGUCAGGUUUAGUGUUGGAAAUCAGCUUUGGUUACUUCAUACGGUUCAAGGCAAGUGUGUAGUUGAUAGGUUGAUCUGCUUUAGCAUCUUUAGUGCUAUCUGCAAUCAGUAAAUCUAAAAUGGUGAUAAAGAUUGAUUAGAUAUUCAUGUUUAAAUCAAUAUAAGAUUAUAGUCCCUAUUUUCGAUAGCUAAGCAUAAUUUAUUUAAAAUUCCUUUUUACGUAAGAAUAAAAUAAAUUAUAUCAGUAAAUCUCCUCCCAAACUUAAAUUACACUGUCCCAGUGUAACUCAGCCGGAGUUAUGAUGAAAAGUGUAUGAUGUACGAAAUGUAACAAGUAAGGAAGAUACAUCUGACUGUAUUAUAUAUCGAUCGAUGGGUAAGUGUUACAUCGAUCGCCGUGUGGUUGCCUAUGUCGAACGAUGUCGACGUCUCGUCGUCGGUCAAUAUUCAAGUUCUCCUACUUGGUUCUCCUAAAUCUGAAAGAGAUAAAACGAAAGAAAUCAAAUGCUAGCUAAUAAAACCGAAGUAAAAUACCUAAUAGUGG